UAGGUUGACCCCUCUGAAAUGCUGUGCAGU
rnacentral:piRNA from 1 species